UGCGCAGGCGGUUUCUUAAGUCUGAUGUGAAAGCCUUCGGCUCAACCGAAGAAGUGCAUCGGAAACUGGGAAACUUGAGUGCAGAAGAGGACAGUGGAACUCCAUGUGUAGCGGUGAAAUGCGUAGAUAUAUGGAAGAACACCAGUGGCGAAGGCGGCUGUCUGGUCUGUAACUGACGCUGAGGCUCGAAAGCAUGGGUAGCAAACA
rnacentral:rRNA from 1 species